UACUCGAGUGGCGAACGGGUGAGUAACACGUGGGUGAUCUGCCCUGCAUUUCGGGAUAAGCCUGGGAAACUGGGUCUAAUACCGGAUAGGAGCCAUUUUUAGUGUGAUGGUUGGAAAGUUUUUUCGGUGUAGGAUGAGCUCGCGGCCUAUCAGCUUGUUGGUGGGGUAAUGGCCUACCAAGGCGGCGACGGGUAGCCGGCCUGAGAGGGUGGACGGCCACAUUGGGACUGAGAUACGGCCCAG
rnacentral:rRNA from 1 species